AAUGAUAUUAUAUAUAGAAACCAGAGGUAGAUACGUUACCAACGCACCAAAACGUAAACCGUGAAUUGGUCCUAAUUGGGACCAGUGGAAUCAGUCAGAUUGUGACUUGUGACAGCGAACGUACAUGCUGAUAUAAACGUUAAAAUUAUCAAUAAUGCCUUCUUGUGUAUUCAGAAAGUGCACAAAUUACGAUAGUAAAAUAAAGAAAGAUAGAGGAAUAUCAUAUCACAGGCACCACUAUUAUUAUAUCCUACAAGUUGGAGUGAUGACCAUGUACGGGUUCCGGGAACUGCCUUGAAACGAAUAGCGUAAGAUCGGUCCGUAUGGAGUUCUAUAAGGAGGACUAUGCUCAGCAGUGGGUGUUUAUCGGGUGAAAUGAUGAUGACCGAAAACGAACACCACAGCUAGUAAUAAAUGCUUAAUACAGU